rnacentral:rRNA from 1 species
GACAGAGGGUGCAAACGUUGUUCGGAAUUACUGGGCGUAAAGCGCGUGUAGGUGGCAAGGCUAGUCGGGUGUGAAGGCCCUGGGCUCAACCCAGGAAGUGCAUUCGAUACUGCCUCGCUAGAGUCCCGGAGAGGUUGGUGGAACUCUCGGUGUAGAGGUGAAAUUCGUAGAUAUCGAGAAGAACACCGGUGGCGAAGGCGGCCAACUGGACGGUGACUGACACUGAGACGCGAAAGCGUGGGGAGCAAACAGG